UUUUUGACGGAUGUGGAUCGGACGGGUUUUAUUCGCAAGCCAAACAUUCCUCCCGCUGUGCCAACCUCACCUGUGGGGUCCCUAGGGCUCAAUACUGGGUUCCAUCCUGUUCUCCAUCUACAUGCUCUCCCUCAGCCAAGUCAUUCAUCGCCUUAAAAUUUCCUUUCAUUUCUACACUGAUGAUACUAAAUCUAUCUUCCACUCAAGACAGACGAUCCCUCUGGACUGGACCAUUUGAAGGACUGCUUGCAGGACAUAAAAGAGUGGAUGUCAAAAUUUCCUGCAGCUCAAUGACAGAGUGAAAUUCUUCUGUUCGGGAACUCCAACCCCCCAACUGUGCACAAUAGCCAAGAUCAAGUAUGUCCUCUCCCCCAGUGACUUAGAGGGUCGUGUUCAUGCUCAUCUUCUGCAGACUGGACUAAUGGAAUGCCCUCUAUGCUUGGGUCACUGACAAGACCAUAUAUAGCAUGCAGUUGGUACAAAAUGCUGGUGACAGGCACAAAAAUGAGGGAACACAUUUUUCCCAUCCUCUCCUCCCUUCACUGGCUCCUGGUGAAGCACAGAGUGAAAUUUAAGAUCCUUACGUAUGUCUUCAAAGCGCUCCGUGGUCUUACCCCAGCUUACAUCAAACAUCUCCUGGACCAACCUAUCAGCUCCAGGCUUGGUCGUUGCCUCAGAUCUGACAACCAGAUGACCUUGAAGGUUCCACAGUCAAACCUAGUGACAAAGAGAGACUGUGCAUUUUCAAUGAUGGUACCUGGCCUAUGGAAUAAGCUCCCCCUGAAAGUCAAGUCCGCCACCACUCUGGACACUUUUAGAGCACAGCUUAAAACUCACCUCUUUGCCGCAAAUGACUUGAUUUGUGUUCAUGUGUCUUAAAUGUUUGUUCUAAAUUCC